rnacentral:tRNA from 1 species
UGCCGCGCUUGCCCAGUUCGCGGGCUACGUGGCUGAAGGUCUCGGCACGGUUGGAGUCGCCCAUGUCGUGCAGGUCGGCGCGCGGCGCC